AACGAACGCUGGCGGCAUGCCUAACACAUGCAAGUCGAACGGGAUCCUGGCUUCGGUCAGGUGAGAGUGGCGGACGGGUGAGUAACGCGUGGGAACCUGCCCAGUGGUGGGGGAUAACUGCGGGAAACUGCAGCUAAUACCGCAUGAGCCCGAGAGGGGAAAGAUUUAUCGCCAUUGGAGGGGCCCGCGUUCGAUUAGGUAGUUGGUGAGGUAAUGGCUCACCAAGCCGACGAUCGAUAGCUGGUCUGAGAGGAUGAUCAGCCACACUGGGACUGAGAUACGGCCCAGACUCCUACGGGAGGCAGCAGUGGGGAAUAUUGGACAAUGGGGGCAACCCUGAUCCAGCAAUGCCGCGUGAGUGAUGAAGGCCUUCGGGUUGUAAAGCUCUUUUGCCAGGGACGAUGAUGACGGUACCUGGAGAAUAAGCCCCGGCUAACUUCGUGCCAGCCGCCGCGGUAACAC
rnacentral:rRNA from 1 species